rnacentral:rRNA from 1 species
AGGAUGAACGCUAGCGGCAGGCCUAAUACAUGCAAGUCGGACGGGAUUGGAGAGCUUGCUUUCCAUGAGAGUGGCGCACGGGUGCGUAACACGUAUGUAACCUACCCUUGUCAGGGGGAUAGCCUCUCGAAAGAGAGAUUAAGACCGCAUAACAUUGAGAUGCAGCAUUGCAAUUCAAUCAAAUAUUUAUAGGACAAGGAUGGGCAUGCGGAACAUUAGCUAGUUGGUAAGGUAAAGGCUUACCAAGGCUACGAUGUUUA